CCUACGGGCGGCUGCAGUGGGGAAUAUUGGACAAUGGGGGAACCCUGAUCCAGCCAUGCCGCGUGUGUGAAGAAGGCCCUCGGGUUGUAAAGCACUUUCAGUGAGGAAGAACGCCUGGUGGUUAAUACCCAUCAGGAAAGACAUCACUCACAGAAGAAGCACCGGCUAACUCCGUGCCAGCAGCCGCGGUAAUACGGAGGGUGCGAGCGUUAAUCGGAAUUACUGGGCGUAAAGCGCGCGUAGGUGGCUUGAUAAGCCGGUUGUGAAAGCCCCGGGCUCAACCUGGGAACGGCAUCCGGAACUGUCAAGCUAGAGUGCAGGAGAGGAAGGUAGAAUUCCCGGUGUAGCGGUGAAAUGCGUAGAGAUCGGGAGGAAUACCAGUGGCGAAGGCGGCCUUCUGGACUGACACUGACACUGAGGUGCGAAAGCGUGGGUAGCAAACAGGAUUAGAUACCCUGGUAGUC
rnacentral:rRNA from 1 species